rnacentral:rRNA from 1 species
UCCCUACGGGGUGCAGCAGGCGCGAAAACUUUACAAUGCGGGAAACCGUGAUAAGGGAACUCCGAGUGUCCGUAAAUGCGGACUGUCCGUAUGUCUAAAAAGCAUGCGAAGAAAGGGCCGGGCAAGACCGGUGCCAGCCGCCGCGGUAAUACCGGCGGCUCGAGUGGUGGCCACUAUUAUUGGGCUUAAAGCGUUCGUAGCUGGAUCGUUAAGUCUCUUGGGAAAUCUACCGGCUUAACCGAUAGGCGUCCAAGGGAUACUGGCGAUCUAGGGACCGGGAGAGGUGAGGGGUGCUUCAGGGGUAGGAGUGAAAUCCUGUAAUCCUUGGGGGACCACCUGUGGCGAAGGCGCCUCACCAGAACGGCUCCGACAGUGAGGGACGAAAGCUGGGGGAGCAAACCGGAUUAGAUACCCGGGUAGUCCCAGCCGUAAACGAUGCGCGUUAGGUGUAUCGAUGACCACGAGUCAUCGAGGUGCCGAAGGGAAACCGUGAAACGCGCCGCCUGGGAAGUACGGUCGCAAGGCUGAAACUUAAGGGAAUUGGCGGGGGAGCACCACAACAGGUGGAGCCUGCGGUUUAAUCGGACUCAACGCCGGAAAUCUCACCGGAUAAGACAGCUGAAUGAUAGUCGGGCUGAAGACUCUACUUGACUAGCUGAGAGGUGGUGC